GACCGUCGUGAGACAGGU
rnacentral:ncRNA from 3 species